CCAGCAUCAUGUAAUUGAAAGUAAGGAUGUCAGAUGCUCAUUUAUCCUACAGGACAUCUUCUGCUCACCCAGACAAGAGCUAUGUAAGCCACAGCCGUUCUUUCUUAACUCAGAAGGAGGAUAAUAUGUGGUAGAUUUAUAGAAGCUGGAGGCCAGGACUGUGCAUAGUUUCUGAUACAUUGAAGUGAUUUCGGUGGUUUUGUGACAUCAUUUUACUCGUGGAUUUAUGAUGAAGAAGAUCACAGCAGGCAGACACCCAAUUGCCAGUGGUGUUACAGAAGGCUGCGUGGAGGUUUUACAUUUUUGCUCUGAGUUGAAGAUUCUGAUCGAGAAGAAAGGCAAGAGAAAAGAGGAAAUGGGCCACUGUAUGACCGAAAGUGGUGGGCACCAGUAAUAAACUUACUAACGUGA